UAUCACUGUACUUUAUCAAAUAACAUCCCCAUUUCAACUGAGAAUGAAGAGGUUCUUGGAUAAAGAACUUGUAAAAAUCAGCCCAGAAGAUGGACAUUUGGCAAGCCAUAAUAGACUGCUCCUUUCCCAGAUCGGCCCUGAGCUAACAUCUGCCAAUCCUCC